AGAAAUCAAGCUGCAGACGAAGCCUCCGACGACGACGUCCACAACUACCCCUACAACAACAACGGAGAAGGAGAUCGAGACUACAGUCAGGACAUAUCUACCGACGCCGCUAAUCCUCAUCACGGAAGUAAACAUCCCCUUAAGAGACGCUCACCUGAAUAACUACGUGCCUAGCGCGCGACCCGCUCCCUUGGAGAUAGUUCUCACCGGAACCGGAUGUUGGGCGAAGGGAUCAAUCCACCUCCGGCUCUUAGCCCUUCUCCUGGUGAUUAGUUAUCGUAGGUGACAAGCAAAUUUCUAGACAAUCGUGAAGGUAGCUCAAAUGUGUACAUAAUUUACGUUAUUGUAACAUGUGAAUUUAUGUGCUUUUAAUAGGUAGAUUUUAAUAUGAUUGUUUUAGUGUUGAAAAGAGUGAGGAAUAAAUGUA